GAUGAACGCUGGCGGCGUGCCUAAUACAUGCAAGUCGAGCGAACGGACGAGAAGCUUGCUUCUCUGAUGUUAGCGGCGGACGGGUGAGUAACACGUGGAUAACCUACCUAUAAGACUGGGAUAACUUCGGGAAACCGGAGCUAAUCCCGGAUAAUAUUUUGAACCGCAUGGUUCAAAAGUGAAAGACGGUCUUGCUGUCACUUAUCGAUGGAUCCGCGCUGCAUUAGCUAGUUGGUAAGGUAACGGCUUACCAAGGCAACGAUGCAUAGCCGACCUGAGAGGGUGAUCGGCCACACUGGAACUGGAACACGGUCCAGACUCCUACGGGAGGCAGCAGUAGGGAAUCUUCCGCAAUGGGCGAAAGCCUGACGGAGCAACGCCGCGUGAGUGAUGAAGGUCUUCGGAGCGUAAAACUCUGUUAUUAGGGAAGAACAUAUGUGUAAGUAACUGUGCACAUCGUGACGGUACCUAAUCAGAAAGCCACGGCUAACUACGUG
rnacentral:rRNA from 1 species